AACGCACCUUGCGCUCCUUGGUAUUCCGAGGAGCAUGCCUGUUUGAGUGUCAUUAAAUUCUCAACUUCAUCAGUUUUGUUAUGAGACUGUGUGAAGCUUGGAUGUGGGGGUUUGUGCAGAGCGCUUUCGAGCACACUGCUCCCCUUAAAUAUAUUAGCGAGUUCAAACUGGGCUCCGUCUAUUGGUGUGAUAAUUAUCUACGCCGUGGAUGGGGCUUAGACUUGCUUCUAACCGUCCGCAAGGACAAUCUUUUGACAAUUUGACCUCAAAUCAGGUAGGACUACCCGCUGAACUUAA
rnacentral:misc_RNA from 1 species